GAGAAUUUCAACUAUCUUCUUGGGGAUAAUUUCAACAGAUUGCAACUGGACAAGAGUGACUAGGGUCAUCAAAGACAUACGGCACCACUGCAAGUCAGUAGAAUCUCUUGCAUCUGCUCGAGCAACUUCAGCAAGGGAACGGAUCAAGCUUUUGACAACCUUAGGGGACAGACUUACCUUAUCAGCUAGCAUGCUAACAAUCAU
rnacentral:misc_RNA from 1 species